AAAACCCGCAGUGAUGGAGGGAGAGUGAGAAGGAGAAGGAGAAUGAGAAAGACAGAGGCGGUGUUCUACGCGGAUACCUACCAUCCGAUCCAAGCCGGAAGCAUCGACGGCACCGACACUCUCCCUCACGACAGCGCCGUCUAUCGAGCCUGGCUUUGCUCCUCCGCCGCCCUCUAUGACCCCUCCGGCGAUCCCAAGCUCAUCGGCGACCCCUACUGCACUCUCUUCGUCGCCCGCCUCUCUCCCCUCACCACCGAAAACACUCUUCGCCAGGCUAUGAGCAAGUAUGGUCGGGUUAAGAACUUGCGGUUGGUCAGGCAUAUUGUAACCGGUGCCUCACGUGGCUAUGCUUUCGUUGAGUAUGAAACCGAAAGGGAGAUGCGGCGUGCAUACAAGGAAGCUCACCAUUCCCUUGUUGAUGAUUAUGAAAUUAUCGUGGAUUACAACAGACAGCAGUUGAUGCCAGGAUGGAUUCCAAGACGAUUAGGAGGGGGUUUUGGUGGUAAGAAGGAAUCUGGACAACUUCGAUUUGGAGGACGAGAAAGACCAUUUCGAGCUCCCAUUCGUAUCCCAUAUGAUGAUCUGGAGAAACUUGGAAUCCCACCUCCACCAGAAGGGCGAUACAUGUCCCGGUAUCAGGACCCAUCCCCACCUAGAAGAAAAAGAAGCUCAGUAGAUGGGGAAGAAGGUACUCACAGAAGGUCAAUGGAUAGGGAAGCGAACAUACGCAAAAGCAAUCCUGCAGAUAAUGAUGACAGGUUUCAUAAAAGAUCUAUGGAUGAGGACUACCAUUCAUCCAGAAGGAGCUCUGAUGAGUCAGCUCAACGCCAUCACAGUAGGAGCUCUAGAGAUAGAGAAGGAGGUACUCACAGAAGGUCAAUGGAUAGGGAAGCGAACAUACGCAAAAGCAAUCCUGGAGAUAACGAUGACAGGUUUCAUAAAAGAUCUAUGGAUGAGGACUACCAUUCAUCCAGAAGGAGCUCUGAUGAGUCAGCUCAACGCCAUCACCGUAGGAGCUCUAGAGAUAGAGAAGGAGGUACUCACAGAAGGUCUACUGAUAGGGAAACAAGCAUGCCCAAAAGCAGUCCUGUCGACAAGGAAGAGUCGUUUCGUAAAAGAUCUAUGGACCAGGAGGACCGUUCAUUCAAAAGGAACUCCAUUGAGACCGAAGAAUUCCAUCGCAGUAGGAGAUCUGUGGACACGGAGGAGCGUUCACACAAAAGGAGCUCUAGGGAUAGGGAUGAGCGUUCUCACAAGCGGCACAAGUCCCGUCACUAUGAGAGGUCCACUAGUUAUGAUCGCUCUUAAAACUCGGAACUGAGAAGGGCAGCAAUGGUAAUGAUAUGUAAAACCGUAAGGAGAGGAGUGAGGAAAUCUGACUAAGGAAGUGUUUUUGCUUAAGACCCUGCUGGAACACUAAGAACUAGUGAUUGAGCACAAAAUGCAGGAGGAGCUAUUGGUGGACUUCAGCUGCAUCAAAAUAGAAUUGGGCAACAUUAAGAUUCCUGCUAAGGUAGCCAGCUUAUUGCUGAUCCGUUUUCUUGUAUAGUAUCCUUAGCAUGAGGAUUAUACAACUGGGGCAGAGCAGAAACAGUUAGUUUUGAACUUCUAUUUUUGCUCCUGAAAGUCGGCAAAGAUUAUUUAAGUUUAGUUUCAGCAUAAGUUAAGAGUUUGCUCGAACUUUACUCUACUCGGCAUCACAAUAUAGUAUCAGCUCCAUGCAAAUUGCGGAGGUACUCUGAACUAUUACUGUGUUGACUCAACAUUUGAGGAAGUUUUAGAAAAGAGGGUUGGCUACUUGCAUCAUGGAAUCUUUAUAUCACAUCUUCAAAGGGUGCAGCUUUCUCCUCGAGAGUGGUCAAAACCUCCACUUGUGGUGAGUUCUUUUCCACCUUCUCCCACCCACUUUGUGACUGGUUAUUGGUUAAUUUGAAGUCAAAUGUUUCAUGCAUACAAGGUGCCUUGGUACUGCUAUUUUGCUGUGGCUCUUUGGUACAUUUGGAAGUGGAGAUGUAGUAUAUUUGAUCCAGUUCCAGACAGACAGUAGUGCGCACAUUGUAAGAGAUCGAUCAGAAAAUCAAAGAGUGGAUUUGACAAUCAGUAGUUGAUAUCAAGCAGAAGCAAUGACCUUAGGGAUCAUAGCCAAGUGCUGUAGUUUUUUUGAAAAGCUCCGAUGGAAAGAACACACCGCAUUUCACCAUGGACAAUUUUACAGAAUAGAACUGGAAAUAGCAACGUGUUGAAGCUUGUUAUUUGUGAGAGUCAAGAAUAUAGGAUCGUUAAGCGGCGAAAGGAAUUAUUCAAGCAAUGUGCUAAAGAUCACUAUGAAGUUGACUAGAAGUUGCUUCUUGAAAAGGGAAGGCUACAUGAUGAAGAUCAUGAUAGGUAGAAAUAUGGCGGAAGUUAUAAACAUGGUUUGUAUCUCACUUAAUUGUUAAUGGAAUUGUGAAACAAAGUUAUUGGGUUAGGAUGAUAUUCUGCCCAAUUGACUGACUUGAGAAGCAGGUUGAAUAUUAAUUAGAUAAAUACGAUCUUGUAUUCUUGUAACGUACUAAUUUUAUAUCAAAUUGUGUAGGUUGUACGUACUUUUCGCACUAAA